UGCUGCCUGUAGUACCGUCUUUUCUAUGCGAGAGGGCGGGAAAAUAGAUGCUCUCUAAUAAACAUUUGGGGAAGUUUUCCUUCUUAUUUCCCCCUGAAACUGUUGUAAACACACCUGGUAUUUAAUAUGAUUUUGUGACUUGCCGGUGCUCAUUUACCUGGUUUCAUAAACUUGGUGUAGAAGUGAAGGGUGGACCUUUGUGGUGACAACAACAUGCAACUGCAGGCAGCUCAAGCUAAAGCUUAGCACUUAAGUAUCUGCAGGUGAGCUGGAGCGCCUGAUGGUGCGUCUGCCCGUUUCUCCCCGUCCUUAACCAGACAGUCGAGAAGAACGGGACUAAGUCUAUUUGGAGGAGACAAGCGGACCUGAGCCUUAUUGUUUUGAGCUUGUGAGUUGCCUGAAACCACCAGAGCCGACCCAACAGAACCAGCUCUGAAUGUUGCCAAGAGUCACAGCCCAGUCUCAGCAGUCAGGAACAUUUUACCUCACACUGACUGAACGUCUGUCUACUGCAGAACACCUACGAGCCAACGGGGAAGGGAGGAGAUGAGGCUCCCUGCUGUCUCCAGACCUGAGAAAAACAGCCGGAUCUAGAAGAUUGCCAAAUCAGAUGAGAGCUUCAGAUGGCAGGAUUUGGAGUUUGACUUCCUGAUACUUGGGCAUCUCACCUCUGAAUGGCUAACGAAAAUGCAACUCUACUGACUCUGUUUACUUUUCAACUUGGAUGUUUUAUCUUCACAAAUAACACCAGCCUGGAGGAGCUUCUGCUGUAUUGUGGAGUUGGAAAUGCUAACGUUUACUUCUACUAGCUAAGAUGUUCUCUGCUGUUUCAUGGAUGCUAAAACAUAAGCAGCCUUUCCUGUCAUGAGUCAAGAUGGGUGAGUCCAUGAAAGUUAAAUGACAGUGUGACGUAGAUCUGUGAGAAUUUUCAAAUCCUAGAGUUUCACAGUCUAUUUUCUAUCAGAAGCUAAGGGGAUAGGUAUAGGAGACUAUUUUCAUGUUCAACCUGCAUGAGAAACUCAGAGUGACUGGUUAUAAUCAGAAAUAAUCAUUUAAAAGUUGUUUUUCAGUGAACCACACCUUUAACUACCAAAAAACAUCUGCUCCUAAUAACAAGAAGGAAAACCGUUGGUGAGCUUCCCUUGUCUUUCUGUGCACCAUCCCUGUGGUGUAGUCUCCCUCCUUAACUCUCAAGAAAUCAGAUUGGCAGGGACGGCGUUAGGCCUGGCUACUUGGGCUGAAGCCCCGAAUCUUUAAUGAAAAGCACCGGAUCUCAAACGUGGAAGUAACAUGCAGUACCAAAGUCCAACAGAGAGGGAGCAGCUAGCAGUAGUUUGUAUACAGCCUGCCUGAGCCUCCACCACUGAAGAAGAAGCCCUUCAGCAGCUGGUUUCUUCUACACUGCCUUGUUUCUUCUACACUCUGCCUGAAACGCAUGAGUGAAGAUGGACAUAAGGACGUUUUUUAGAUCAAAAGUACCGCGACAGAACCCCAGCUUUGAUGAGACUGGUGUUGACUAAGGUUUGAGUCUUAUUUGAAAAUAUUUGUUGUGCUGCUGGUUUGCCUAAAGUUAGCUUACUAUCAGGUAAUGGUUGAUGGAGAAAGAAAGGGAAUAUUUACUAUCAUCUCACAUACUAACAGGAACAAUAUUCUGCCCUGAAUAUGCUUAAUAUGUAGCUUCAGAUUAAAAAUUAUGUGGUACAAGACAAAUAUAUAUGAUGUUGACUAGUGCAUGUCACGUGUGUGUGUGUGUGUGUGUGCGUGCGCACGUGUGUGUGUUAAGCCCCGGAUCUUCUUUAGUCCUUAAUCCGUCCCUGCAGAUUGGCAAGCUCGAUGUAUGUUUUUAAAGCACAGUUAACGACGUUCAUGUCCACACUAUCUUUUAUGUUCUAGCUUUUAUCUGAACAGUUUUAAAUACCUUGUGUUGUAUUUUUAUCAAGUAGCAGUCAGGUCUUACUGCUGUUUACUGUUGUCGUUGUUUUAAAUACUGGGCUUACCUUUUAUCACUGUCGGUUCUGCUUUUAAUUGUUCAGAGCUGUGACUGAAAGCACUUUGUGAAUAAAAUAAGUUACAGCAGUAGCUCAGGAGGUAGAGCGGGUUGUCCCGUAAUCGGAAGGUUGCAUGGAUGGUUCAGUCCUGGCUUUGACAAGAUAAUGCUGCUGUUGUGUCCUUGGGCAAGACACAACCUACCUUGCCUGCUGUUGGUUGGUGGAGGGACCGGUGUCGCCUGUGUACAGCAGGCCUCACUUCUUUCAUUGCGCCCCAGGGUAGCUGUGGCUACAUCAUAGCUCAUCCCCACCAGUGUGUGAAUGAGUAAAUGACUGACUGUGUUGUGAAGCACCUUGAGGGAUUGUAGAACCCUAAGAAGACCAUCCAUCCAUCCAACCAUCCAUUUUCUGAACCCGCUUUGUCCACGCAGGGUCGCCGGGGGGCUGGUGCCUAUGUCCAGCGGUCAACGGGCAAUCAGGCGGGGUACACCCUGGACAGAGAGCCAGUCCAUCGCAGGGCAACACAGAGAACCCUAAGAAGACAUUAUACAAAAGCAGACCAUUUACCAUUUAAAGAUUUUAUUAUCAUUAAAAAUAAAGAAUGGUGAAAAAGCUGAUGUUGCACUCAGCUGGUGUCAGAAAGGAGCCCCAGAGGAAUAGCCUCUCUGGGUUUUCAACAGCAUGCAAGCCAACUAGCUCCCGAAGGAGAAACAUGUUAACUCAGACAUUCACGUGAUUUGCUCCACAGCAUUAUCCCACUCUGCUGCAUCACAAUUUCAAGGUCUAACUAGGUUUUAUGUGCACACUGAUGUUUAUUUGUCCGUUAUGAAACUGAUUCACCGGUGAAUCACUGCAAAUCAAAACAUGGAUGAUUUCACACAAACAAGAGAGUGUGCAUAGGGUAAUCUGUCUGUCAAUAAUACAAACCUGGGUAGCUUGUAGAGCAGGAAACAGGAGUUAGAGUGAGCUGGUCUAACUUUCCACACACUGAUCCUCAGGUGUCACGCUGCCAUUCUCCAAACACCUGAAAAUGUGUUCGGGGACACAGCAACUGCCCCAGUCUAAAUGUAAUUUAUGUUAAUUUAGCGAUUUAACAGACGUACUGCAUCAUUAUAAAAGCUGGAUUAGUUUUGCUUUUCUACACGGUGUGUGUAAAAUGGACAAUGGGCUGUUUGUGUGUUUGCAUGAACAGAAAACAAAACGACCAACUAAAACAAGAACAAAUUAACAAGAUUCACACCUCUAAUCUGUUAAUCAUGCAAGUCCGUAAGUCUUUGACAAAAUAAUAAUUUAGAAGAACAUUGCAUCCUUGUGUGGCUGGUCUUCAUCCUGUUCCCGACCCUGAAGGGCUGAGGCAUAUCCAGGCUGACACUUGGCAAUCCGAGGGUUCACCCUGGAAGGUUUCCCAGCCCAUCAAACGACGAGCACACAGAGACAUAUAAGCAUGCACACUGAUACCGACAGCCAGCUUCAAAUGUCUCUGUCUCUGUCCAUCAGUCUGAGACUUCCUGGCUCAGAUGGAACAGAGAGCAGACUUACGUCACAGACAGCAGGGUUCUGCUCCUCAAGGUUGGAGGGUUUCGCAUUUGGUAGUCGCCUAUGCUGUCAGGUUGUUUCCCAACGUGCGUCUCACACAAGUGCACUGACAUGGUGGUACCAAAGAUUAAUUUUUGUUCAUAAAGGCAUUUUUGCUGUCAGUGUUAAAGGCUUUUCCACUCUAACUGUACUUAUUUGUUAGCAUGCAACGCGUAUCCAAUACAGUGCAGAGGAAAAUUGUGUUACUUUGCAGAGAUUCCAUUUAAAUGAAUGGAUUUGGUCAAAAAAGUACAAACACGUGUGUGACUUAGCUCUAACCCUCCACUGCAUUUUCAUGAUUCACUUUUUAUUGCCGGAUGCGAGCCAUAAUUUCCGGACUGUUACUAAGUAAAGCGUCCAUUUAUACCCCUUGCUUUAACGUAUGCAAGUUGGCUCGGGAACCUAUCCACGGCCCUGAAGCACUUUGAGUUGGAUUUGGUGAGGGAUUUAAACACCACCACCACCACUGUGUUGGAGAAGCAGCUUUACAUUAAAGGUUUGGUCUCACACAAAAUCAACACAUUGUAAACUAAAGCAUAUGUUCAUGCAUAUAUGAACGCGAGGUCCCUUUUUACUAUAUCACACAAUGCUUAAAUGGAUACAUUUGAACUGAACUUGAGGACAUCAUAUUUUACCAGCAGGUGGAACCCCCUUGUUGGUUAUCCAGCAAAAGGGCAGUUCCACACAGCUAUUACCCCAUUUUUUCCACCGGACAUGAAAAUGGUUGUGAAACUUACUACACGUCAGUAAGCCACAGACGACAGUAAAGUGGAAGGUUUUGGACGUGUCCCAGAAGCGACAGGACGUUUCAAGUCUAUUUCUUAGGAGCUACACUUCCAAAACCCGUCAAACUCUGUAGUGACGUUCAGGCCAGACAGGAAGUCAAACACAGAAGCAGUAUUAAACAUCUGGAAACUUUCAAAGUAAAUGUCAUGUGCAGACUUAGUAUGUCAUUUCCUGUGAAACCCUAUAUAACCAAUGUAAACAGAACAGAAAAUAGAGCGACGGUAGCACAGGAGUUAAGUGCUCACCCCGUAAUCGGAAGGUUGCAGGUUCGAGCCCCGCUCAGUCUGUCACUGUCAUUGUGUCCUUGGGCAAGACGUUUAACCCCCCUUGCCUGCUGGUGGUGUUUGGAGGCACCGGUGGUGCCUGUGUUCAGCAAGCCUCGCCUCUGUCAGUGUGCCCCAGGGCAGCUGUGGCUACAUCCUAGCUCAUCACCACCAGGGUGUGAAUGUGUAUGUGAAGGGGUGAAUGACUGAUUGGGUUGUAAAGUGCCUUGGGGGGUUCCAGGACUCUAGAAGGCGCUAUAUCAAAUACAGGCCAUUUACCAUAAACCACUGACAUUGUUGGAUACAUGCUGCCAUGUUUCCCCUUGCUUGUUAUUGUGUGGACCUCUAAAAUCCCGCGUGGUGUUGCAAUUCUCCUGUGAUUUUGUGAUUUUGCGGAACCAGUGGCGUGGAACGUUUUUGCUCCUAUUUUGUGUCAAUUGCUGAGGGAGCUUGGAGGUAAAAUGCCGCUUUUACGUUACACGCCGCUUUCAAGUGGAAAGAAGGGGUUGGAUUAGCUGAUGUUUCCAUCAAACUAUAAAGUUUCCUUAACCAUAAACACACACAGUUGUUUAUGGUUAACAAGCCAGAGUCCAAUCCAGCUCUUUUUCCAUGUGGUGAGAUUCAAAUCAUGGAUGUGCAGCUGCAAAUCAGCUUAGUGAUGCUUUCAUGUAAUGAGACCAAGAUCUCUUGUAUUCAUUUGAAGACAAUUUUAAAGGAAAAUGCGAUCCAACCUGGUUCUAGCAUUGGUCUAAAUGUAGUUUAAACAUGUGAAAAGGAAGCUCAAGUAUACUCCUAAUUCAUGUAAUCACACUUUAAUAAUCGUUUUUCCCAAUUUCCAUUAGCAGGAUAAACAGAGGGGUGCUACAAACAAAUGAUGAAGGUGAAAAGCUUAUCUGCUCUGUGAUCGAGUUUGAUCUGCAACACGACAAAAUGCCUUAGUCCAGAGAAUUCACUUCGAGGCAUCAUCUAGGUGAAUCAUUUAUGCAAGAAUUAAAACUUAUCUGUAAAUUCAAGACUACUUAGGUACAAAUGUGCCCUAUUUGAUUCAAAAACCCUACAUAGUUUAACCUGCCUGUACAGUCCAAGUCCCUCAGAGAAAUGUUUGAAAUCUUAUCUCAGAUUCUUGCAAAAGAAGAAGUUUUCAUCAGUAUUUUCCAAGUUACUUGAUCUGUUUCACAUGUCGUGUUCAGCUGCAUAUUAGAACUUUGAUUGGUUGAUAAAAACAUUGUAUUUCAGCAUUUAAUCUAAUUACAACUUACUUUUGCAGAACAACUAAGGCGUUGCAUUAGAAAAACCCAUCCCUGAUGUUUUAAUGAUGUCUAUAGAUGAGAAGGCUUUCAUGAAGAGAGCUGUGGCUCCAACUAAAGACAGAUGGUUCACAGCCAGAUGUGAAGGGGGUUGGAAAACGGAGCAGAUCAGCAGCAUCAGUCCUGGACAAGGAGAUGGUUCAACAGGGCAGAUGUUAAGUCUUUGCUUUUUUUUUCUAAAGACUUAAUUUAGGAAUAGUUUGGGAGAAGAUAUUAACCCUCUCAGGCUCAAAAUAAGUUUUGAUAAAAGGACAAACAACUAAGUCCU